rnacentral:tRNA from 1 species
UGCCGAAGUGGCGGAACUGGCAGACGCGCCAGAUUCAGGAUCUGGUGGUGUUAACGCCGUGCGGGUUCAAAUCCCGCCUUCGGCAUUUU